UUCUGCUGUGGCCUUAGGAAGCUUACAAUCACGGCAGAAGGUGACAGAGAGCCAGCAUGUCACAUAACUAGAGCAGGAGCAAGAGAGAGAGAAGGGGAAGGUCCCAAACUAGUUGAGUGAGAAGUCACUUAUCACCAAAGGGAUGGUACUAAACCAUUCAUGAGGCAUCUGCCACCAUGAUCUGAUCACUUUCCACCAGGCCUCACUUCUAACAUAGGGAAAACAUUGGAUUCUCACAUUUAGGAGUCCAUUUGAGGUCCUUGAAGGAGUGUGCAAAGAGGAGGAUAAUCUCUCCAGGCCUCUAAAAUGGACUAGAGGGGAGGACAGGGCUGUGGUGGCAUGUAGCCCUGUUAAACUUUGUAGCACUGAUCAUGGACUUGUGUACUCACCUCCAAUCUCAUAUGUCUCCCUUGCCAUUCAGUAUAAAUUGAAAAUAGGAAGCAUUUUCCCAUUCAAAUUGGGGCACUUCCUCCAUGGAUUAUUUGGAAAAUAUUACCGUCUAUUAUAGUGCAUCUCAGUGUCCCCUGGAAAGAAAAAUACCUGCUUCUUGCCCACCAGCAAGGCUGAACUUCUGGAACCCUGAAGGGGAAAGAGCCACAUUCAGAACAUGUACUCGAGCAAUUUAGGGAGGAAAUGCUGCUCCCUAACUCAUCUAGUAGGUGAUUAUGUCCUCGGGUACUUAGAAUCCUUGUUUAACAUGUAAUCUUCAUAGUUUGGGAUGAUCUCAGUUAUAAUUCACACACAGUGGCAUGACUGGAAGCUGGUGUGUGUGGGUUGUGUGUUUGUGUGUAUUUACACAUUCAUGUGUUUGUAGUGCAUGUAUGUGUGUCCUUUGAAGAGGCUGGGGAUGAGGGAUAAUAAAUUUGUCUGGUUCCCCUCUGAUCUCUGGGAAUCUGACUACUGCAGGUGGAACUGCAGGCUAAGCUGGGGAGAUUGAAGGGAAGAGACAAACCAGACAAUUUUUUUUUGUUUGCAUUAAAAAUUGAGCAAAAAGCAGGUUACCUUGUUUGCCUGAGGAAUAGAGGUGGUGAUGGGGACAGGUGAGAGAAGAGGAUAGUUUUUAAUAUCUUUUUGUAGGACCAGUUAAAUCACCUGAAACUAUUCUAACUUUUCCCAUGAGACGAAUACCAGUUUAUUACCAGAUAAUACACACAAUGAUAGCUUCUGCUUUCAUUUCCUGUAACAAAUAAUGCGUCUCUUUUUUCUCCAAGUUCCAUAUGAUAAAACAAAGAACCUGCUAUGUUGCAAAAUAGUGUAACGAGGGACAAGUGAAGAACAUCAAAAGGGCCCAUGAGCUGGUCUGGACCUAGGAACCGAGGGCUUAAGGACCAAAUCCUACUGACAGUGGAUUCACUCAAACUUAUAAUGAACAGAUCAUUUUUGUAAUAACAAAUACAAUGUACACCUUGGCAGAAGAUAGAAAGCUUUCAUUUAUGGUUCAGAAAACUUGGUGAACAAGGAAUAAAGUCCCACCCAAUUGUCAAGGCUGCUUGGGUAGUUCUUACUUCCCUUCUGCUGGAAAUUUUUUCCUGGUGAGUUCCACUCCCAGCUUCCCAAGGAGCCUGAGGAGCACAAGGCUUUUUGCAAGUAUCGUCCAUGGUAAUGGGAAUAAGAGUGAAGCUCCAGUCCCUACUGGGUCAGACACAGAGCAGGGAGAGAGAGGUGACUGGGUGACUGGGUCCUGGGGCUGCCAUGCUUCCUGCAGGGGACUAGCUCAGUGCCAGGCACUCUGCUCCACCUGGUGGUUUGUGGCUGGGAAUAAGCCUACGUGAUUUUUGUCAAAGAGAGUUAUCUAGAAUCUAAGAAUGUGCUGUUGGAAGGAAACUUACCAUAAAGUCCUGCCCCCCUCAUGCACUUAUAACACCUUACCAUAAAGUCCUGCCCCUGUCUGCACUUAUAAUACCUCUAUCAAGUGGCUAUGGCUGUGCUUAUGCCCCACCAGUGACAGGGGCCUCAGUGUGUCCUAAGGCUUCCAUUCCAUUUUUGUAUGACUCUGACCAUAGAAAGCUCUUCUCUAAUAUUAUGAGUUAAAACUUGCCUUUCUCUAACUUCUUCAUGUUUCCCAGUUGAAAUCACUGGCUACAAAUGUGACUCCUCACACACUCAGUGACUGUUCAAGUAGGAUUCAGAGCAAAGCAGAGUUUCAGAGCACCUUGCUGAGCAGGCAAGAUAUUUCACAGCCAAAGAAACCAGGAUUCGAAGAAGUAAAAUAGUUUGCCCAAAGUCAUAUCCUGAGAAAGUGGUACAGAACCCCAGAUUUAGAGAAGGUGUAUCAGCCAAAGUCUCGUAGCUUCCUCCACCACUUGUGUGUCCGCUGCCUGUACUAGAUGCAGCUGAAUCCACAUUCAUUGUCCUUCAAAUGCCUCAUCAGAUCCUUUACAGUCCCCAGAGAACUUGGAGGGUACAAUAAAACCUCUUGGGAAAAUGCCUUCCACUGAAGAAUUUGCAAAGCUAGUUCUGAAAACCGGGUUUGAGACUCUUAAGGUCUCAUUUAUAUUGAAGGCAUAAAAACUUAGGAUUUGGAGAUCAUGGGAAGAAAAGUUCUUUGGAAAGAGCUAUGCUGUGAGUUCCCUCCACACCCCAUGAGUACCUACCCUUCACCUCAAUCCUGGUGAGAGGGGCAUCAAUGAGACCAUUCAGAGAGCUCAAUGUGUGUCCCCUGCAGGGGGAUGCACUGCACAGGUGCCUGACUCACAUCUGAGAAACUCGAGUGGGAGAUGCUGCUGAAACAGCCUAUGGCCGCAGAGUCAGGACCACCAGUGGGGAAACUACAUCCCCAUUGAGGAGUCAAGUGAACCUGCCUUUCAUCUGCUGGACAUGGGACCUUAAAAGAAUUGUUCAAGAGGGUCACUUGAAGGAGCAAUAGAACCCUAGUAGGAAGAGUCUGUAUGGAAAUGGACCAGCCAGGAAACAGGGGCCAAAGAGAGAGUCAUCAAUGGUCACCCUGAGAGUGCGUUGUGAAUGACAAAGUAGGAUACAGAUCCCCAGCAUGGGUGAAAAAGGCUAUCUAUCCAGAGAAGCUGUGAAAAUGCCCUGGGGGAGAAAUAAUUCACCUGGACACUAUCAAGCCCAGAGAAACAACGAUGACCACAUAGAAGGCCUUUGUGGAAGGCCUUUCCCAUCUCUUUCAUCUCCAUCCUCUUUACUGCUUCUCCCUGCCUGUCCUCAUGGAGUUGGGGGAAGGAAGUCCAAUUUUUGGCUCUUCUGUCACCUUUGUAGGUGUUUACAGGGAAUUUUGUCCUCGUCUUUGGGUAUCACUCUCCACAUCUGCUGCUGAUGGGACUGGUCCUGCUUGGCAGGGACUGGGGUGGGCAGGUGCUGCUGACACCUGUGGUUCCUGCCACGGCCUCUGUAAUGAGGUCCAUGCACUCUGACCUUCCUUAUUUUAGCUUAGGCAUCUUCUGGCCCACGACCCCUCUCAGUAAUUCAUUUCUCUAUAGAGGCCCAAGAGAACUUCAGAAUCUCCCAGCAUCAUGCACAGGCUGAGGAGAAAUUGUUGCACUUCUAGAGGCCCUUGUUCUUCUGAAACAUACCAUGCCCCAAUUUCUGCUCAACAGGGCCCCCUGGGAGGAGGCCCUGCCCUCCCUUGUCAAAGGUAAGUGGGACCUAAUCCCCUUGCCUUUGUUUUUCCUGUCAACCUAUCUGGAGAUCCUAUCACCUGGCCUGCUCUGUUCCCUUCUGCCCCACAGCCCCCUCUGUUGAGCCCUAGGAAAUGGUGGCAUCAAGCCCCUUCUAAAUCAUAAUCAGAGUCUCAACUUUAGCAUUUCUUCAAUGCUUACUUAGAUCCAGAAUGUUAUACAUAGAUGGUGGAAAAUUACUCACAUAUCUUACCUGGCAUCUUUUUAGUUUGUGACUUGGAAGAACUCUAUCCUCUGAAUCUACAAUCUUUAGUUUGGAACACACAAAUCUAUUUUUUUUCUGUCAAUAAAAUUUAGUUCUUGCCCAUUUUGGCAGUCAAAAGGUGAACACUGAGUUCUGCAUUCUCAGUAGGGUCUAACCUCUGCCUGAAGUAAUGGCUGCCUACAUCCCAAAUGUUGGACGUUUGUGGACAACAAGAAUUACAGAAAUGGAAAAGAUACUUUGGAAACUUCCAGAGAAGAAGGCACUUGA